UAAUCUUAAGAUAAACUGAUUGCAGAAAUUCUUCCUCCGAACAACUGAAUUAAUAUUUUGUCAAUUCUCAUUAAUAAUCGGGUUGUUAAAAAGCGCAUUCACGGCACGUUAGCCACCAUGACAGCAUUGUUUAGUAUAUACGUAGGAAUUUUAUGUGUGGUUUUUGGUUCGGUGAAUAGUGAACAUGCGUUUGCUAUGGAAAAAAUUCUAAAGAGCGGUUUGAAUUUUAAAGACAUUGUAGCGCGAGUAAACUCUACACUUGUCACAAAUGAGUCCAUAGGCUGUAUAAAACAAAUUUCCGCUCUAUUGAAGAGUGACCAAAUGACUUUGAAACGAAUGGCCGAUGCCUGGAGUAAAUUCCCAUAUUCCGGCGCUUCAUAUUACGCGUCCAAAUCGGACGCCGGAAAUUACGACGAAUGUAUUAAGAUCAGCACUACAAUUGACAUGAGCGCAUUUUGGGUAAAUAUUGCUCAUGGGGUUUUGCUAUUCCAAUAUCCAAUGGCACACAAGUAAGAGAUUUAAAUUAAACAUGUAACAUGCUUAAACAGGAAUUAAUUUGUGAAUGCUUAAUAUUAGUGAAAGUCAUUCGGCAAAAAGCCUUGUUAUGAUUCUGAUAAGAUGGGCAAAUUAAUCUUGUAGUAGCGUGAAAUUAUCAGAUUUCCCCACUUCAUAUCUCCACCUGAAAAACUUCUAAGAAGAAUUUAAAAAAUGUGAAAAAUGUGAGGAGGCUGGUAACACAAUGCUUAAAACAAUGGAUUAAUGCACAAAUUUAACAAUGUUUGCUCGUGCGGUUUCAAAAUGUAAAAUUUAGUUAGUUUAUUGAUAGUGACUUCAGUUUAUUGAAGUUUGUAUAAGCCUACGGGCAUUACAUUAAUAUUAUUAAGGGCACUAAAGGCAUAGAUUGAAAUGAGCAAAAUAAAUCUCAUAAAUCAGAGAAAAAAUGUUAGUAAAAGUCCACAUGUAUAAUACCAAUGAUGAAGUAAAUUUUUUAAGGGUUCAAUAUUUAUUUUCUUCAAUUUGUCGAAAUUUAUAAGACUUGCUUAUAACAAGUUGCUCCUUAAUGGUCAAAUUUCCUCUAUUCAAAAUGUGAUCGAAAAACGAACAAAUUAAAUACAUUAUUUAGAAAAAUCUUUUAUCUAAAGGGCUAUCUUUUAAACAUCCUUAAUUCCUUAAAUACAUAUACACAUUUUUCGCUCCUAACUUAAAAAAGAUGGAAAUUUAUUUCCUAAUAUUUGGAAAGAGACAGAAUUAAACCGCCAUU
rnacentral:lncRNA from 1 species